AGAGUUUGAUCCUGGCUCAGGAUGAACGCUAGCGGCAGGCUUAACACAUGCAAGUCGAGGGGUAUAUGUCUUCGGAUAUAGAGACCGGCGCACGGGUGCGUAACGCGUAUGCAAUCUGCCUUGUACUGAGGGAUAGCCCAGAGAAAUUUGGAUUAAUACCUCAUAGCAUUAUGAAAUCGCAUGGUUUUAUAAUUAAAGUUCCAACGGUACAAGAUGAGCAUGCGUCCCAUUAGUUAGUUGGUAAGGUAACGGCUUACCAAGACGAUGAUGGGUAGGGGUCCUGAGAGGGAGAUCCCCCACACUGGUACUGAGACACGGACCAGACUCCUACGGGAGGCAGCAGUGAGGAAUAUUGGUCAAUGGGCGCAAGCCUGAACCAGCCAUGCCGCGUGCAGGAUGACGGUCCUAUGGAUUGUAAACUGCUUUUAUACGGGAAGAAACACUCCUACGUGUAGGAACUUGACGGUACCGUAAGAAUAAGGAUCGGCUAACUCCGUGCCAGCAGCCGCGGUAAUACGGAGGAUCCAAGCGUUAUCCGGAAUCAUUGGGUUUAAAGGGUCCGUAGGCGGCCUUAUAAGUCAGUGGUGAAAGCCCAUCGCUUAACGAUGGAACGGCCAUUGAUACUGUAGGGCUUGAAUUUUUGUGAAGUAACUAGAAUAUGUAGUGUAGCGGUGAAAUGCUUAGAUAUUACAUGGAAUACCAAUUGCGAAGGCAGGUUACUAACAAACAAUUGACGCUGAUGGACGAAAGCGUGGGGAGCGAACAGGAUUAGAUACCCUGGUAGUCCACGCCGUAAACGA
rnacentral:rRNA from 1 species